rnacentral:rRNA from 1 species
UACGUAGGGUGCGAGCGUUAAUCGGAAUUACUGGGCGUAAAGCGUGCGCAGGCGGUUCGUUAUGUCUGCUGUGAAAUCCCCGGGCUCAACCUGGGAAUGGCAUUUGGGACUGCAAGGCUUGAGUGCGGCAGAGGAGACUGGAAUUCCUGGUGUAGCGGUGAAAUGCGCAGAUAUCAGGAGGAACACCGGUGGCGAAGGCGGGUCUCUGGGCCGAUACUGACGCUGAGGAGCGAAAGCGUGGGGAGCGAACAGG